CUUUUGCCAUUGGGUCAGACUUUCCUAUGCUCUUUCUUUUUUUUUUUGGUUCUAGUUGGGCAGUUCCUGUCGAAUCACAGGAGGAGGAGGAGUGUAAUCAUUGCGCAGUGUGUUUCGGCUUCUUGAUUAACAGUUGCAUUGGGCCUCUGAUGUAUGGGAAACAAAGCUAACCCCAGCUUGAACACUAGAGAAAACUGCUGCAAUUAUGUAAGCUUUACCCUAAUUGCUUGGUUGAAUGAGAGCUGGAAGUGAGGGUGACGGAGUGGUGCUGCUAACUUGGCAAUUCGCAAGGGUCACUGUGGUUAAUUGGUGUCUGCAGAGCAGAACCAUUUUUCUAUGGUGAUCAAUUUAAGAUAUUGUCAUUUGUUGAAAUGAACCAAUGCCCUUGACUUCUUGGAAGAGGUGGAGGGAAUUGAUCACGUGAGAAUGUACAGUAAUCCAUUUCAGACUCUGGCUUUUGUGGAUUUAGACAAGGCUCCCCUGGAGGAAGGAAUGCCAGGGCAAGAAUCAACCAGAUUGAGAUCUUUGUGCCUGGCAGUCUGACAUCACUUGUAAACUCUGCCAAAAUUCCUUUGGAAGCAGAUGUUCCUAGAGGGGGAAUGGUAAUCAUUUAUCCUGUUACAUUUGUUCAAUAAAUGCUGAUUCGUGGGAAACCCAAGGAUUUAGGUUAUGGUUAUGAACAAUUCACUAGGGAUGUACCUUUCAGAGAGCAUAAACAUGAUUAUUCCAAAACAUUCUUUCCUCCCUCCCAGCAUUUCUCAUGUGUUAAUUCAAGCCUUCCCAUCCACUUAUAGUCAGGGAGGAGUUGUCAUUUAUUCGCCUCCCUUCCCCAAUGCAAUAGCUCCUGUAUCAAUCUGUGGGUAAUUUACAAAUUCUAGUAAUAUUUUCUAAUCACUAGUCUAGCAUAGAAAUAUAAACUUCAAGCCCUUCUCCUUGUAUUUGUGAAUGAUCUCUUUCAGCCAAAAAAAAAGUGGAAUUAAAACAUAAAACUCCAAAA